GACGAACGCUGGCGGCGUGCUUAACACAUGCAAGUCGAGCGGAGCGGCGAACGGGUGAGUAACGCGUGAGUAACUGCCCCCCUCUCUGGGAUAACAGUUGGAAACGGCUGCUAAUACCGGAUAGUGGGGGAUGACUCGCGUCCUAUCAGCUUGUUGGUGGGGUAGUGGCCUACCAAGGCUACGACGGGUAGCCGGCCUGAGAGGGCGACCGGCCACAUUGGGAUGAGAUCCUGCCCCACCUCCGACGGGAGGUAGCAGUGGGGAAUAUGGGUGCAUGGGCGAAACACGGAUCCAGCAACGCCGCUGGCGGGAUUAUGGCCUUCGUGUUGUAAACCGCUUGCAGCCAUUACGCGGUAGUGGCAGAACAAGCACCGCUUAACUACGUGCCAGCAGCCGCGGUUAUUC
rnacentral:rRNA from 1 species